rnacentral:rRNA from 1 species
UGGGGAAUAUUGGACAAUGGGCGCACGCCUUAUCCAGCCAUGCCGCGUGUGUGAAGAAGGCCUUAUGGUUGUAAAGCACUUUAAGCGAGGAGGAGGCUACUUUAGUUAAUACCUAGAGAUAGUGGACGUUACUCGCAGAAUAAGCACCGUCUAACUCUGUGCCAGCAGCCGCGGUACUACAGAGGGUGCAAGCGUUAAUCGGAUUUACUGGGCGUAAAGCGCGCGUAGGCGGCUAAUUAAGUCAAAUGUGAAAUCCCCGAGCUUAACUUGGGAAUUGCAUUCGAUACUGGUUAGCUAGAGUGUGGGAGAGGAUGGUAGAAUUCCAGGUGUAGCGGUGAAAUGCGUAGAGAUCUGGAGGAAUACCGAUGGCGAAGGCAGCCAUCUGGCCUAACACUGACGCUGAGGUGCGAAAGCAUGGGGAGCAAACAGG